rnacentral:ncRNA from 1 species
GGAGGUAGGCCCUCCGGUGGCGGCUUCUGGAAGCGGCCAUCAAACCACCGUAAGCUGCGCCGGUAAAGAGCCGGUGUGGUGAGCGUUACGGAAAAGGCGUAGCUUGACUGCGUCAGGU